CAGACAAGCUAUGCUCACGUAUUCCUCUGUUUCUCGGAGUGCGUGGGGUACGGCCUGGGGUGGCAACUUUGGACCAUUCCCCUUGAAGUUGAAAGUCCAUCUCCUGGUCUUCGUCUCUUUCGUCGUCCCAACCAGCUCAUCCUUAAUGGAGGAAGUGACUUCCUGCAACAUUUCCCUGAUGUCAGACUUGGAAGGGAGUUUACUUAGGGGACUUAUCAUAGGUCACUUUACAAAUACCUUGGGGGCUUUGACAACAGCUGUGUGCAAGAGACAUUUCUAAACCGUGUAGAAGAAGGGAAUUUGCUUAAUUUACUAUAAAAUCCAAAAAAACCUCUAUCUGCGGAAAAAGUCUAGACAAAAUCAUGUGACAAUUCAAAACGUGUGAUGAUUGUCUCGAAACUUUGAUUUUUUGGGAUUUUAAAAUGAAAACCAGCACCAAACAGCCCAAAAAGCUUUGAAUAUCAUGAAGGCAAAAUGUAAGAAUUCAGUGCACAUGAACGCGCGCGUCAAGAUGGGCGCCAUUGUGGACACGUGCGUAAUCACGGACAUGUGCAUCUAAACGUCCACCAAUGUGAACGUGCGCAGCGUCAUGACGCAGGACGCAGGCAUCACUACGUUUGGCGCCAAAACGCCCUCCUUAAAAGAACGCUCAGGGAAAGGUUCUGUGCUUAGUGAUAAACUUUGCUCCUGUAUACUUGUAUCCUGAUUAUUUGAUUCCGGUUUGACUUCUGCUUUGAAUCUCUGACUAAAUUUGAUCUCUGCCUGCAUCUGACCCCAGCCUGUUAACCUGAUUACGAUUGAUCUCCGCCUGCAUCGACCUCGGCCUGUUAAACGACUAUGACUGAACUCCACCUGCACUGACCUCGGCCUACCCAUUCGACUUCUCUUCUGCUUAACCCCCACUACAACUACUCCACGUGAACAGUUUGUGACUCUCCAGUUUGGUCAUGUCUCCUCACAUUUUGGCUCUAGACUGGUUAAGCCUGACACAAAAAGAUGUUCCAAUUGUAUAAUGGACAUUUGCCAUUGAAUUCUAGAUGACUUCAUCAGGUUUUAGCUGGAGUAUUUUCAGAUUCAGAUUUUUAGCAGCUUUGGAACAUAACAAAUCUUGAAAAAUCAGAGUUUUUCUCCCUCCAAAAUUUUGGUUUAAUAAAUUGGCCCCUAAAAUUGUGAACUAAGUUUUUUUGUUCAGCAAUAAAUUUAUUUGAGAAUUACAUUUUCUGUAGACUACAAAUAAAGGAGGUAAUAAAUAUGAAGUGAAAGUGCGCUUCCUUAGAACAUUGCGGAUAUAAAAGGGAAAAUGUGUUCAUGUAACAUAGACAACCCUGCUGUGAGCUACAAGUUCAACAGUCCAAUAUUUCUGACAAAAUGGAAAUAUGUGACUGAAAUUUGUUUUUGCAUUGCUUCUUUGCACUAUUAGGAAAUGUCAUUGGUACCAUAAAAUGCAUUACUUUAUCCUAUUAGGAAAAUAUUUUGCUGUAAAAUCUAGUACUUCUGCAGUUGUUUGGUGAAAAGGAUUUUAUUGGAAGUAUAUAUCAUAGAGUUCUACCUGAAUUUGUAUUUUCUAUUAUCAUCAAGGAGGCUAAGGAAAAUAUUUCAUACCUAGCUACUCGCUUCUCUGAAUCUUAACAGUAUUUGUUUUUAGAGAUUUCCUUUUAUUUAGUACAGCUGUUAACUUCACAGAAGGUGCUUUUUUAUAUUAAAAUAUAGAACCACAUUUUUUUUAUUUAAAUAUAAUCAUGCACUGCAUAAACAAUGUUUAGAUUUACAAUACACCAAGACAUAUUCUGCCAUGACUUACUGAUAAAAAGAUAUGCACAUAACCCAUCGUGAGUCCUUUCUGUAUGUAAAAACUCUAGCCUACCAACACUCAUACACUAAAGGACAGCCUUACUAACAUUUCGAAAAUAUUUUCAACAUUCCAAAUUUGAAAAAAUGUUUUUACUCUUAUUUGCAAACUGUUUCCUUAUUUGCAAACUGUAUUUCCUGGUGCAUAAGUGACUUUGUAACAAAUAUUUUUAUAGAAUGAUAAAUGUGAUAUAAUUUUGCAAUAGCAAAUGGUUUAUACCAUAUAAAUGCAAUACAUCCCAGACUGCUUUGAGUUUCCAUUUGCUGGAUUAAGGUAUACAUUUUGGAAAAUGUAAUUCUAAUAAAGAGUAUUUUUCUAUA